UACGUAGGGUCCAAGCGUUAUCCGGAAUCACUGGGCGUAAAGCGUGCGUAGGUGGCGCGUUAAGUGAGAUGUUAAAUCGUGUGGCUCAACCAUAUCGAUGCAUCUCAUACUGGCGUGCUAGAGGACAGCAGAGGCAAGUGGAAUUGGUAGUGUAGCAGUGAAAUGCGUAGAUAUUACCAGGAACACCAAUGGCGAAGGCAGCUUGCUGGGCUACUCCUGACACUGAGGUACGAAAGCGUGGGGAGCGAACAGGAUUAGAAACCCGGUAGUCC
rnacentral:rRNA from 1 species